CGUGACGUGGUGCCUUUAGCGCCCGUGGGUAGAGGAUAAAGGAAGAAAUUCCUGGACCGCUCGACGGAGCUCCCCGGGGCCCGACCUCUUCUGUCGGGACUAGCCCAUGGUAGUUGCCGUAGACGAGAAUGAAGUUUCUUCUCAUGAAUUGGAGGACUCCUGCCCAGCCCAAGGGAUCUGCGAUGAGAGCAGUCUCUGCUACUCUUAUCACAGACCUUAAGAGCCUGCACUGUAAAAAAAAUAAAAACUAUAUGCUUGACACAUUAAGUUUUCUCUACAGACAGCGACAAGCCUGAUGCAUAAAAUAGUCUACAUAAACUACAGACAGCCCAGUAUGCUUGAAAACUUUAUGUGCUGACAUGUCUUUUUAUGACAUCUUUAUUUUAGUUUUCAGGACUCCUUUUAGUU